rnacentral:rRNA from 1 species
GACGAACGCUGGCGGCACGCUUAACACGUGCAAGUCGAACGAGAGAAGAGAAGCUUGCUUUUCUGAUCUAGUGGCGGACGGGUGAGUAACACGUGAGCAAUCUGCCUUUCAGAGGGGGAUACCGAUUGGAAACGAUCGUUAAUACCGCAUAACAUAAUUGAACCGCAUGAUUUGAUUAUCAAAGAUUUAUCGCUGAAAGAUGAGCUCGCGUCUGAUUAGCUAGUUGGUAAGGUAACGGCUUACCAAGGCGACGAUCAGUAGCCGGACUGAGAGGUUGAUCGGCCACAUUGGGACUGAGACACGGCCCAGACUCCUACGGGAGGCAGCAGUGGGGAAUAUUGCACAAUGGAGGAAACUCUGAUGCAGCGAUGCCGCGUGAGGGAAGAAGGUUUUAGGAUUGUAAACCUCUGUCUUCAGGGACGAAAAAAGACGGUACCUGAGGAGGAAGCUCCGGCUAACUACGUG